AUGGAAAAACCACAAUUGGAAAUGUUUGCCAAGCAUAGAGGUUUACCUUCAAGCAUAAGAAACAACUUCUUGGCAAGACUACUCAGGAAGGCCUCCAGAUCAGUUUUCUUUCCAGUCAAUUUGCUGACUUGGUCGGUCAGGGCAGCUUUAUCAGUUUUUAGUCGACUGACCUCCUUGUUGGCGAUCCCAAGGGCAGCUUUCAGAUUGGUAUUGUCUUGUUCAAGCUUGGUGACUGAAGCUAACUUCUCGUCAGCAAGCUUGAUCUUCUCAGCGAGUUCGAGGUCUUUCUUCUGUUGGGCCUCCCUUACCUUACCUGCAAGUUACAGCAAGGUUAGAUUUUGA
rnacentral:rRNA from 1 species